GAUGAACGCUGGCGGCGUGCUUAACACAUGCAAGUCGAACGGAAAGGCCAGUGCUUGCACUGGUGCUCGAGUGGCGAACGGGUGAGUAACACGUGGGUGAUCUGCCCUGCACUUUGGGAUAAGCCUGGGAAACUGGGUCUAAUACCAGAUAGGACCAUGCUUUGGAUGGUGUGGUGGAAAGUUUUUUCGGUGUGGGAUGAGCUUGCGGCCUAUCAGCUUGUUGGUGGGGUAAUGGCCUACCAAGGCGUCGACGGGUAGCCGGCCUGAGAGGGUGUACGGCCACAUUGGGACUGAGAUACGGCCCAGACUCCACGGGAGGCAGCAGUGGGGAAGAUUGCACAAUGGGCGCAAGCCUGAUGCAGCGACGCCGCGUGGGGGAUGACGGCCUUCGGGUUGUAAACUCCUUUCGCAACUGACGAAGCUUUUUGUGGCGGUAGGUUGAGAAGAAGCACCGGCUAACUACGUG
rnacentral:rRNA from 1 species